UCCAGACUUAGCCAAAUUUUCAGCUUUUUCACCGUUUUAGCUCCGUUUUCGCUCGUUUUCGCUCGUUUUCGCUCGUUUGACCUCCGAUUCUUUUCAAAUCGAACCGAGACUCUCCAAACAUAUUUUCGAACAUGUUUUCAUCAUCUUUUCAUUCCCGCUAAUGCCGGAUUUAGUUCAUGGUCCGACAUAGCCUUUCGGGUCCCGUUUUCGUGCCUACGCGCACCGAAUCGUCCGGAUGCUUCCAAACUUCACCGAACUUCACCGGAACCCUUCAAAUGGCUCUCCAACCAAAUUUACACCAUAACUUCAUAAUUUUAGAAGUCCGGUACCUUACACUAGGGUUGAGUCUUAGUGGACCUAGCAAACCUUAGGCCGGUUGGACCGUAGGAAAUAGGCUCGUGAGAGACGAGGUCUAUUUGAUUCGUAAGCGAAAGUAUC
rnacentral:lncRNA from 1 species